GGCGAGGGGAGUGAAAAAGAACCUGAAACCGUGUACGUACAAGCAGUGGGAGCACAGGUUUACCUGUGUGACUGCGUACCUUUUGUAUAAUGGGUCAGCGACUUAUAUUCUGUAGCAAGGUUAACCGAAUAGGGGAGCCGGAGGGAAACCGAGUCUUAACCGGGCGUUAAGUUGCAGGGUAUAGACCCGAAACCCGGUGAUCUAGCCAUGGGCAGGUUGAAGGUUGGGUAACACUAACUGGAGGACCGAACCGACUAAUGUUGAAAAA
rnacentral:rRNA from 3 species